rnacentral:rRNA from 1 species
GAUGAACGCUGGCGGCGUGCUUAACACAUGCAAGUCGAGCGAGAAGUUUUGAAGCGAUUCUUCGGAUGAAAUUUAAAAUGGAAAGCAGCGGACGGGGGAGUAACGCGUAGUCAACCUGCCCCAUACACAGGGAUAGCAUUUGGAAACGAAUAUUAAUACCUUAUGAAACUUAACUAGUGCAUACUAGGUAGGUCAAAGAUUUAUCGGUAUGGGCUGGGCCUGCUUCUGAUUAGCUAGUUGGCGAGGUAACGGCUAACCAAGGCGACGAUCAGUAGCCGACCUGCGAGGGUGAGCGGCCACAUGGGACGUGAGACACGGUCCGAACUCCUACGGGAGGGGGCAGUGGGGAAUAGUGGACAAGGGGCGAGAGUCUGAUGCAUCAACGCAGCGUGAAAGACUAAGGCUUUGGGGUCGCAAAGUUCUGUUCUAGGUGACGAAAACUGACAGUAACCUAGGAGAAAGCCACGGCUAACUCCGUG